CCUACGGGUGGCAGCAGUGGGGAAUAUUGGGCAAUGGGCGCAAGCCUGACCCAGCUACGCCGCGUGAAGGAAGAAGGCUUUCGGGUUGUAAACUUCUUUUAUCAGGGACGAAGCAAGUGACGGUAACUGAUGGAUAAGCUAAGGCUAACUACGUGCUAGCAGCCGCGGUAAUACGUAGGUGGCAAGCGUUAUCCGGAUUUACUGGGCGUAAAGGGCGUGUAGGCGGGAGUGCAAGUCAGAUGUGAAAACUAUGGGCUUAACCCAUAGCCUGCAUAUGAAACUGUACUGCUUGAGUGCUGGAGAGGCAGUCGGAAUUCCGUGUGUAGCGGUGAAAUGCGUAGAUAUACGGAGGAACACCAGUGGCGAAGGCGGAUUGCUGGACAGCAACUGACGCUGAGGCGCGAAAGCGUGGGGAGCAAACAGGAUUAGAUACCCGAGUAGUC
rnacentral:rRNA from 1 species